AUUGAACGCUGGCGGCAGGCCUAACACAUGCAAGUCGAACGGUAACAGGAAGAAGCUUGCUUCUUUGCUGACGAGUGGCGGACGGGUGAGUAAUGUCUGGAAAACUGCCUGAUGGAGGGGGAUAACUACUGGAAACGGUAGCUAAUACCGCAUAACGUCGCAAGACCAAAGAGGGGGACCUUCGGGCCUCUUGCCAUCGGAUGUGCCCAGAUGGGAUUAGCUAGUAGGUGGGGUAACGGCUCACCUAGGCGACGAUCCCUAGCUGGUCUGAGAGGAUGACCAGCCACACUGGGACUGAGACACGGUCCAGACUCCUACGGGAGGCAGCAGUGGGGAAUAUUGCACAAUGGGCGCAAGCCUGAUGCAGCCAUGCCGCGUGUAUGAAGAAGGCCUUCGGGUUGUAAAGUACUUUCAGCGGGGAGGAAGGGAGUAAAGUUAAUACCUUUGCUCAUUGACGUUACCCGCAGAAGAAGCACCGGCUAACUCCGUG
rnacentral:rRNA from 1 species